AUUCAUACCAUCGCCGGAUUUACUUGUCAAGGGGCAGGACUAACAAGUGUAUUAGGUUCUAGAAAAGCUGUGCCUGCUUCCUUCUGGAAAAUUCCAGCGCUAGAGGAUGUAGGUAGGAUAAGGUCUGAAGACCGGUCGAGGAAUGCAGGAUCAUGGAAGGUUUAGGAGCUGGGCCUCCAUGUCUUCUGUACACAUUGGCCAACGUGAAGUGUUCCUCCAUCUUCUCAGGUAUCAAAGAAUGGUCAGCGGGAGUCAUGAAGGAGGACGAAUGCUAGCUAUGAGUCCCUUGGAGUCAUGGUUCUGCCACUUCAAGUUUGGAAGGACG
rnacentral:lncRNA from 1 species